rnacentral:piRNA from 2 species
UAUUCGAGAUGCCAACAGCCAACAGGCCAAU